rnacentral:rRNA from 1 species
CCUACGGGAGGCAGCAGUGAGGAAUAUUGGACAAUGGGCGCAAGCCUGAUCCAGCCAUGCCGCGUGCAGGAUGACGGUCCUAUGGAUUGUAAACUGCUUUUAUACGAGAAGAAACACCCCUACGUGUAGGGACUUGACGGUAUCGUAAGAAUAAGGAUCGGCUAACUCCGUGCCAGCAGCCGCGGUAAUACGGAGGAUCCAAGCGUUAUCCGGAAUCAUUGGGUUUAAAGGGUCCGUAGGCGGUUUAGUAAGUCAGUGGUGAAAUCUCCCCGCUCAACGGGGAAACGGCCAUUGAUACUGCUAGACUUGAAUUAUUAGGAAGUAACUAGAAUAUGUAGUGUAGCGGUGAAAUGCUUAGAGAUUACAUGGAAUACCAAUUGCGAAGGCAGGUUACUACUAAUGGAUUGACGCUGAUGGACGAAAGCGUGGGUAGCGAACAGGAUUAGAUACCCUGGUAGUCCACGCCGUAAACGAUGGAUACUAGCUGUUGGGUGCAAACUCAGUGGCUAAGCGAAAGUGAUAAGUAUCCCACCUGGGGAGUACGUUCGCAAGAAUGAAACUCAAAGGAAUUGACGG